rnacentral:rRNA from 1 species
AGAUUGAACGCUGGCGGCAUGCCUUACACAUGCAAGUCGAACGGCAGCACGGGAGCAAUCCUGGUGGCGAGUGGCGAACGGGUGAGUAAUACAUCGGAACGUGCCCAAUCGUGGGGGAUAACGCAGCGAAAGCUGUGCUAAUACCGCAUAAGAUCUACGGAUGAAUGCAGGGGAUCGCAAGACCUUGCGCGAAUGGAGCGGCCGAUGGCAGAUUAGGUAGUUGGUGAGGUAAAGGCUCACCAAGCCUUCGAUCUGUAGCUGGUCUGAGAGGACGACCAGCCACACUGGGACUGAGACACGGCCAGACUCCGUAGGGAGCAGCAGGUGGGGAAUUUUGGACAAGUGGCGAAAGCCUGAUCCAGCCAGUCGCCGCGUGCAGGAUGGAAGGUCCGUU